rnacentral:rRNA from 1 species
GACGUAGGGGGCCAGCGUUGUUCGGAAUUACUGGGCGUAAAGGGCGCGUAGGCGGCGUGACAAGUCACUUGUGAAAUCUCCGGGCUUAACCCGGAGCGGCCAAGUGAUACUGUCGUGCUAGAGUGCGGAAGGGGCUACUGGAAUUCUCGGUGUAGCGGUGAAAUGCGUAGAUAUCGAGAGGAACACCUGCGGCGAAGGCGGGUAGCUGGGCCGACACGUGACGCUGAGGCGCGAAAGCCAGGGGAGCGAACGGG